CAUGCCACUAUUGACUAUGGCAGCUCUCUCAAAGUGGGGAUGACGCUUGUGACGGUGAGAAAUGGUGGACACUUCUAGUCUUGGUUAACCUCGAUUCCAAUGUAGCACAGUACUGAGUUGCACUAUAGUUUACCAUACAUGUCUGUCUAGUAACUCAGGAAUACAGUUGUAAUAACAAUAUGACUCAUUUAGUUUCUGAAAUCAAGCUUUUUGUAUCUUAUAAGUGGUUUUACCCUGUUAGAAUUAUAACAUAUUCAAAUGCUUGUACAGUAUAUAUAAAUAAUAAUUUGAUUGAAUAUUAAUUUGCAUUGAUGUUUAGGUUGUUUUCUUAAUAAGUUUACUUGAUGUGUGUACAGGUAAUGCUGAAUCUUUGUAAAGUAAGGUAAUGAUAUCCUGUACUGUAUCUGAUUCUGUGUGAUAAUACUGUAACUGAAAACUUUUACUGCACUGUAUAUACUGUAAUAUCUUAUGAUUCUUCUUUUAUAAACAGGUCACAUGAAGGGUAAUCUGAAAAAAAGAGCCUCUAGAAUGUAUUUGUAAUCAGUGGGUGGACCCAGAGUAAGGAUACUGUACCUAAAUGUCCCUUCGUAUGGCUACCACUCUUGUAUGAGGCUGGGGGGUAAAAUCUUUCGAUUGUUUAUUGUUGUUCAUUGCUCAUUGAAACAUGUUUAGACAUAUAUUCACUCUGUGCAUUAAUGUACAGAUGAACGAGUGCAAUUACUUACCUGUGAGCAUUUUGUGAUAAAUGAACACAGUUUACCAUGAAUUGGGAAGUUUGUUCCCGUAACAUUUUCAACUUGACCGCUGAUAUUGCAUAUUGUUGUGUAAUGGUUGGGAAAUAUAGUUAGAUUCCAUAGACCUAGAAUCUCUAUUCACGUGUGUACAAUAUAGUGUUCAACAGAAGAACAAGAACUGUACUGUAAUUGGGUAUCAUGCAUUAAUUAAUAAUUGUGAUGCAAUACAAAUACAGCUGAGGAUAUUUUUAUACAUUUUUAAAAUAUGUAAUACUGUAUGUGAAUGGCUGAUGUAGCAGUAUGGUUGGUUAGAUAUGAACUAUUUGGCAGGUUGAUGAAGUUUGAUUGAGUGUGUAGGUAAUACUCAGUAAAAUGACCAGUAUAUAUAAUGAUGAAGAGACCUAUCUUCUUAUUUGAUACAUUUACUGUACACAAACUUGUAUGUGUAUCUUAAAACUGAUAGUUGUUGAUUAUCUGGAUAAAUUAUACUUGGAAAUAAAAGCAAUGUCAAA